rnacentral:rRNA from 1 species
AGGAAUCUUGCGCAAUGGGCGAAAGCCUGACGCAGCGACGCCGCGUGAGGGAUGAAGGCCUUCGGGUCGUAAACCUCUGUCAGGGGGGAAGAACCCUGGAUCGGUGAAUAACCGGACCAGCUGACGGUACCCCCAGAGGAAGCACCGGCUAACUCCGUGCCAGCAGCCGCGGUAAUACGUAGGGGGCAAGCGUUAUCCGGAAUCAUUGGGCGUAAAGAGCUCGUAGGCGGUUCAGCAAGUCGGCUGUGAAAGUCUGAGGCUCAACCUCAGAAUUGCAGUCGAUACUGCUGUGACUCGAGUCCGGUAGAGGAGAAUGGAAUUCCCGGUGUAGCGGUGAAAUGCGCAGAUAUCGGGAGGAACACCAGUAGCGAAGGCGGUUCUCUGGGUCGGCACUGACGCUGAGGAGCGAAAGCGUGGGGAGCAAA